UCAAGUAAUUAAGGGUGUUGGGUGGAUGGUUAGGCUCUCAGAGGCGAUGAAGGACGUGCUAAGCUGCGAAAAGCCGGGGGAAGAUGCACCGAAUCUAUGAUCCCCGGGUGUCCGAAUGGGGCAACCCAGUAGAGUGAACCUCUAUUAUCCUCCCUUAAAAGAGGAAGCCAACCUGGUGAAUUGAAACAUCUUAGUAGCCAGAGGAAAAGAAAUCGAAGAGAUUCCGCCAGUAGCGGCGAGCGAAAACGGAAGAGGCCAAACCAGGGAGCUUGCUCCCUGGGGUUGUAGGACUGCAUUUAGGAUUCAAUGACGUGAGCAGAACUACCUGGAAAGGUAGGCCAGAGACGGUGAUAGCCCCGUACGCGAAACGAAGUUGACCGAGCAGUAUCCUGAGUAACGCAAGACUCGUGAAAUCCUGCGUGAAUCUGGGGCGACCAUGCUCUAAGCCUAAAUACUCCUGAGAGACCGAUAGUGCACAAGUAGCGCGAGCGAAAACUGAAAAGUACCCCUGACGGGGAGUGAAAUAGUCCCUGAAACCCAACACUUACAAGCAGUCAUAGGCCUAUGUCGCAAGACAGGCUGGUGGCGUGCCUUUUGCAUAAUGAUCCUGCGACUUACCGUCGGCUGCAAGCCUAAGGCCUUACGGGCUGGAGGCGUAGCGAAAGCGAGUGUGAAUAGCGCGUUGAGUAGUCGGCGGUAGACCCGAAACCUAGUGAUCUAGCCAUGAGCAGGUUGAAGCGAGGGUAACACCUCGUGGAGGACCGAACAGGUAUACCUUGAGAAGUGUUCUGAUGACUUGUGGCUAGGGGUAAAAGGUCAAUCAAACUAGGAGAUAUCUGGUUCUCCUCGAAAUAUAUAUAGGUAUAGGCUCGGAGGGUAGUUGUAAGGGGUAGAGCACUGAAUGGACUAGGGGCCUUACCGGGUUACCAAAUCCAAUCAAACUCCGAAUACUUACAGCGUAGACUCCGGGGCUCAGACAGUGGGGUCGAAUCUUCAUUGUCAAAAGGGAAAGAGCCCAGACCAACAGCUAAGGUCCCAAAAUAACGCUCAGUGGUAAAGGAAGUCUUUGUGCUAUGACAGCUGGGACGUUGGCUUAGAAGCAGCCAUCAUUUAAAGAGUGCGUAACAGCUUACUGGUCGAAUGGCGUUCUGCGCCGAUAAUGUAUGGGGGCUCAAGCCAGCCACCGAAGCGUCGGACUAGUCGUAAGACUAGUGGUAGAGGAGCGUUGCCGUCGGAACGAAGCCAUAGCGGAAGCAGUGGUGGACUGGCGGCAAGUGAGGAUGCGGACAUAAGUAGCGCUAAGACAGGUGAGAAUCCUGUCCACCGAAAGCCUCAGGGUUCUUCAGGAAGGCUCGUCCUCUGAAGUUUAGUCGGGCCUAAGGCGAGGCCGAACGGCGUAGCCGAUGGACAACAGGUUGAUAUUCCUGUACCAGUGUGUUCAGUGAUGGAGGGACGCGGUCCCAGUCCUCAGCGCGACUGUUGGUAGUGCGCGUGAAGCUCUUACGGAGGUCCGAUAGUAAAAUACGCGGACAUAAUCUGAGAGAGUGAACGAGUGGAUCCUUCGGGUGAAGCGAAGUGGGGGGGCGGAUCGCCGAGAAAAUCUUCUAAACUUAUGGGCAUACUGUCCGUACCGCAAACCGACACAGGUAGGCAGGUAGAGUAUACCAAGGUGUUCGAGAGAACUCUCGUUAAGGAACUAGGCAAAUUGACCCCGUAACUUAGGGAGAAGGGGUACCACCGCAAGGUGGUCGCAGUGACAAGCAUCGAGCGACUGUUUAACAAAAACACAGGUCUCUGCUAAGGGGAAACCCUAGGUAUAGGGGCUGACACCUGCCCAAUGCCAGAAGGUUAACAGGAGGGGUUCGGCGCAAGCCAAAGCUCUGAAUUGAAGCCCUGGUGAAUGGCGGCGGUAACUAUAACCGUCCUAAGGUAGCGAAAUUCCUAGCCGGGUAAGUUCCGGCCUGCACGAAAGGUGUAACGACUUGAUGACUGUCUCAACGAGAGACUCGGUGAAAUUGUAGCACCGGUGAAGAUGCCGGUUACCCGCAACUGGACGAAAAGACCCCGUGGAGCUUUACUACACCCUGUUAUUGUGUUUUGAUAUAGUUU
rnacentral:rRNA from 1 species